AAAAAAAAAAAAAAAAACUACUUAACAAAAUAGAAGACUCCCUGAGUGCAGCAACAAUAAGUGAAAGGCCUCAGGCAAGCUUCUUCAUUUUACUAAAAGAAGCAAUAACUGUGAUAGGAACUGAAAGAAAAUAUCUAAUAUGAAUUUGUAAACUAAAUAGUGCAAAUUAUAUACAUAAAAAGAAACAGUCAAAAGCCACUUUAAACCAAGAACAUGGGUCAUAAAAAGAUAGGUACAGUUUGUUAUGUUUUAACAAAAAAUAAAUGUUCAGAAACCAUUAAUUUAUAGAGUAAUAAAAAAUAUAUAUUCAAUGUCCUAAUUUGUCCAAAAUGAAAAAUAGCCAAUGACUAUGAUAAACAUAAAGGCUGAACACUACAACCACUGGCAAUACAGUUAUAUCAGCUAGCACUUCAAAAGUUCAUAUCAUGUUGCUUGGAAUGAAGAAGAGGAAUUUUUUGUUGAAUGAGAUAACCAAAAUAUGCUUAUUUCAUAACAUGUAUACCAUAGGAUAGAACCAGAUUGUUUCUUCAGACACCAUAACACACUAACAAAAAUUAAAUUGCAUUUUUCAUUA
rnacentral:misc_RNA from 1 species